rnacentral:rRNA from 1 species
AACGAACGCUGGCGGCAUGCCUAACACAUGCAAGUCGAACGAAACCUUCGGGUCCAUUGGCGCACGGUUUCGUAAGCCGUGGGAACCUUCCCUUAUGUUCGGAAUAACUCCCCGACAGGGGUGCUAAUACCGGAUAAUUUCUUCUGACCAAAGAUUUAUCGCCUUUGGAUGGUCCCGCGUUGGAUUAGCUAGUUGGUAGGGUAAAAGCCUACCAAGGCGACGAUCCAUAGCUGGUUUGAGAGGAUGAUCAGCCACACUGGGACUGAGACACGGCCCAGACUCCUACGGGAGGCAGCAGUGGGGAAUAGUGGACAAUGGGCGAAAGAAUGAUCCAGCAAUGCCGCGUGAGUGAUGAAGGCCUUAGGGUUGUAAAGCUCUUUUACCCGGGAUGAUAAUGACAGUACCGGGAGAAUAAGCGCCGGCUAACUACGUG